GUUUAAAUAGCUUAAUUUUUAAAGUUUAAUAUUGAAGAUAUUAAGAUGGGUAAACCCUUUAAAUA
rnacentral:tRNA from 1 species